UACGGGGGGGGCAAGCGUUGUUCGGAAUUACUGGGCGUAAAGGGCUCGUAGGCGGCCAACUAAGUCAGACGUGAAAUCCCCAGGCUUAACCUGGGAACUGCGUCUGAUACUGGAUGGCUUGAAUUCGGGAGAGGGAUGCAGAAUUCCAGGUGUAGCGGUGAAAUGCGUAGAUAUCUGGAGGAAUACCGGUGGCGAAGGCGGCAUCCUGGACCGAGAUUGACGCUGAUGAGCGAAAGCGUGGGGAGCGAACAGG
rnacentral:rRNA from 1 species